UACGGGGGGGGCAAGCGUUGUUCGGAAUCAUUGGGCGUAAAGGGCGCGUAGGUGGCCCGGUGAGUCUUUGGUGAAAGCGCGGGGCUCAACCCUGCGUCGGCCAGGGAUACUGCCGCGGCUCGAGCACUGUAGAGGCAGGCGGAAUUCCGGGUGUAGCGGUGGAAUGCGUAGAGAUCCGGAAGAACACCGGUGGCGAAGGCGGCCUGCUGGGCAGUGGCUGACGCUGAGGCGCGACAGCGUGGGGAGCAAACAGG
rnacentral:rRNA from 1 species